CGGGGUUUAGCUCAUUGAUAGAGCACUUAUCUCACACGUGUGAGGCACUGGGUUCAACCCUCAGAACCACAU
rnacentral:tRNA from 1 species